CUCAUCUGCCAUGUUGUAAUGUCAAAUCAAAUAAGAGAUUUCAAAAUCAUAUCCCUUUUUCUCUCUCCCACUCUCUACUCACAAUUAUCACAUCUCUUUCCUCCCUCACCCCACAAACGUGAAGAAGAACAAGAAGAAGAUGGUCUCAUUUCAGAAUUAAAAUAUCUACCUUCAAGAUUUCAAGAAAUACUAAUUCCAGAUUCAGUUGCAGAAGACGAUGGUGGUUGCAGAUCAAAGCAUGAUUCAGUUGCAGAAGACCAUGGUGGUUGCAGAUCUGGUGGUUGGUGGAAGGUGGUGACUGGUUCAUUCUGGGGUGUUGGUGGUUGAUAGCGGCGACAGUGGGUGGUUGUAGAAGGUGGUGGAGGGUGGGUGGUUGGUGGCGCCGGAGUUCGGAACGUCGUCGGAGUCAAGAUCUAGUAAUGAAACAGAUCCAUAAAGAUAUUCAAUUGACAAGCUGGAUGGAUGUAGGCGACGUUAAUGCGGGGACAUUGAAUAAGUCAACUCUUUUGGGAAAGAAGUUUUCGUUCGUUUAUAACAUGUGUUAGUGAUUCAUACUGUAAUAGAUCCAUAAAGAAGUUUUCAUGCUGUAACAAGUUUUCGUUCGUUUCUAACAUGCUUUGCACAUUUUGGAAUGUAUAACAUGUGUUAAGCCUC